ACGGGUGAGUAACGCGUGGGAACGUACCUUUUGGUUCGGAACAACACAGGGAAACUUGUGCUAAUACCGGAUAAGCCCUUACGGGGAAAGAUUUAUCGCCGAAAGAUCGGCCCGCGUCUGAUUAGCUAGUUGGUGAGGUAAUGGCUCACCAAGGCGACGAUCAGUAGCUGGUCUGAGAGGAUGAUCAGCCACAUUGGGACUGAGGCACGGCCCAAACUCCUACGGGAGGCAGCAGUGGGGAAUAUUGGACAAUGGGGGCAACCCUGAUCCAGCCAUGCCGCGUGAGUGAUGAAGGCCCUAGGGUUGUAAAGCUCUUUUGUGCGGGAAGAUAAUGACGGUACCGCAAGAAUAAGCUCCGGCUAACUUCGUGCCAGCAGCCGCGGUAAUACGAAGGGGGCUAGCGUUGCUCGGAAUCACUGGGCGUAAAGGGUGCGUAGGCGGGUCUUUAAGUCAGGGGUGAAAUCCUGGAGCUCAACUCCAGAACUGCCUUUGAUACUGAAGAUCUUGAGUUCGGGAGAGGUGAGUGGAACUGCGAGUGUAGAGGUGAAAUUCGUAGA
rnacentral:rRNA from 1 species